rnacentral:rRNA from 1 species
UGGGGAAUUUUGGACAAUGGGCGAAAGCCUGAUCCAGCAAUGCCGCGUGUGUGAAGAAGGCCUUCGGGUUGUAAAGCACUUUUGUCCGGAAAGAAAUGGCUCUGGUUAAUACCUGGGGUCGAUGACGGUACCGGAAGAAUAAGGACCGGCUAACUACGUGCCAGCAGCCGCGGUAAUACGUAGGGUCCAAGCGUUAAUCGGAAUUACUGGGCGUAAAGCGUGCGCAGGCGGUUGUGCAAGACCGAUGUGAAAUCCCCGAGCUUAACUUGGGAAUUGCAUUGGUGACUGCACGGCUAGAGUGUGUCAGAGGGGGGUAGAAUUCCACGUGUAGCAGUGAAAUGCGUAGAGAUGUGGAGGAAUACCGAUGGCGAAGGCAGCCCCCUGGGNAAUCAACCAUGACGCUCAUGCACGAAAGCGUGGGGAGCAAACAAGGAUUAGAUACCCUGGUAGUCCACGCCCUAAACGAUGUCAACUAGUUGUUGGGGAUUCAUUUCCUUAGUAACGUAGCUAACGCGUGAAGUUGACCGCCUGGGGGAGUACGGUCGCAAGAUUAAAACUCAAAGGAAUUGACGG